CCAGUGGAAGGGUUUUGUCGCUGUGGCUCCCAAAUUUUGCUUGCGAGGCUGGCCUGGCUGAGGGCUCAGUGCGCCCGGCCCCACCCUCCAGGUGAGCCUAGGAACUGAUGACGGGGCCCCAGCGCGUGACGGACUAGGUUCACGCCGUCCUCUCAGGCCUUCGCGGCCGGGCGGCCCGGGUUAUCCCGAGUAUCCUGGGGACCCCACGCCACGUGCCGACGGCGACGCGAGGGCCUCAGUCCCCGGGAAGUUACGCCCCUUCUGGUUCGUAAGACUCAAGAGUCUCAGGCCACCCGGGCUUAGCUCUGUUUUCCCCGAAAAACACCGAGUCUCCGGUCCUUGGAAACGGUAACCGUCCUUCUUUCUGUGAAUUGACCACCCGCUUCCAGUUCGUGCAGCCGUUUGGUUGUUUGUAAGACACCCCUUUCACGGACACCGAACAUUGAUGAACCCAAAGUUUAUCAGUUCUCGGCAGUGACCUUUUUCUAAACCAGAGCGAUUUUUUGUAUUAGUUAACUUACUCUGGUUUGAAUUACAGUUCUGUCCGUGAGGGCCCUGGCCGCUGAAUGUCAGCCCUGUGAAGGCAGGGGCUGUGUCUUGGUCUUUGUGACCUCUUCUAUAGCGGGGCAGGGAUUUGUGUAAGGUCAGCACCUAGUAAAUGUUUGCUGAGUUGAACUGUUAGGUGAAAGAACUGUUGUAGGACCACUAACUCAGCAUCUUUAAAAAACUGUUCUAGAACCUCCCCCCACCCGGAGUCUCAUUCUUUUUUCUGCGAAACACUCAAUGCUGCCUGAGGCUUGGACCCAACCUGAGGGACCACAUCUGAGAAAACCCAGCCUGUGUCUGCAGUAUCCGCUUGAAUUCCUCAGGUUGUUCAGGAAUGGAGAAUCUCCAGCAGUGUUAAAUAUAUUACCAUCAACUUAGGAGAUGGCUGCUUUGCAAAGGAAAGGGCUUCAGGCAAGGAUUCUCAGCUCUGAAGAAGAGGAGAAACUUAAAAGAGACCAAGCUUUAGUGUCUGAUUUUAAACAGCAAAAACUGGAAAAAGAGGCUCAGAAGAACUGGGACCUUUUUUACAAAAGAAAUAGCACUAACUUCUUCAAAGAUAGACACUGGACCACCAGAGAGUUUGAGGAGCUCAGAUCAUGUAGAGAGUUUGAAGAUCAAAAAUUGACUAUGCUUGAAGCUGGCUGUGGGGUUGGGAACUGUUUAUUCCCGCUUUUAGAAGAUCCGAAUAUCUUUGCCUAUGCCUGUGAUUUUUCUCCAAGAGCAGUUGAAUAUGUCAAGCAAAAUCCUUUAUAUGACACAGCAAGAUGCAAGGUAUUCCAGUGUGAUCUGACUAAAGAUGACCUUCUGGAACAUGUGCCCCCAGAGUCUGUGGAUGUUGUCAUGUUGAUAUUUGUGCUCUCUGCAGUUCACCCUGAUAAAAUGCACCUUGUCUUAAAAAACAUUUACAAGGUAUUAAAACCAGGCAAAAGUGUCUUGUUUCGCGACUAUGGGCUGUAUGAUCAUGCCAUGCUUAGGUUUAAAGCCGGCAGCAAACUUGCAGAAAACUUUUAUGUUAGACAAGAUGGAACCAGAUCGUAUUUUUUCACUGAUGGUAAGAUUGCUGGAAUCUGUCUUGACUGCUGUUUCUUUGAUUUCAUUGUCACUGUGGUACCAGUUGGAAUGGGGGUGACUAUACGCCCCUCACAAGCACAAGGUCCCAGAACAAGUGUGCUCACGCGCACCGCUUACCAGCCCCAGCUGUGAGCUCACGGGCUACCUGUGGUGACGGUGUCCAGUUAGUGAGCUGGAUCAGUGGACAGGCUCUGAUGUGCCGCCAUGUGGAUGACGCCAGGGAGCUACGCUGGAAAGCGAGGAGAGCAAACCAGAAUCUUCACUUUGUUCACUCAGGAAUAAAGAAAAUAGGACAGGGUAGUGCCUUGAGAUUACUUGAGUCUCACAAAGAAUUCCUGGCACGACUCUUUAUGGACACAGGUUACGAAGAAGAGGUGAACGAGUAUGUGUUUCGUGAGACGGUGAAUAAAAAAGAAGGCCUGUGUGUGCCGAGGGUUUUUCUUCAGAGCAAGUUCCGAAAGU